UUUUUUAUAAGAUAUAUUCAAUCUAUUAUUUUUAGGAAAUAAAAAAAUUAAUUAUAAUUAAAAGAG
rnacentral:tRNA from 1 species